GACGGAGGAUGCAAGUGUUAUCCGGAAUCACUGGGCGUAAAGCGUCUGUAGGUGGUUUAAAAAGUCUAUUGUUAAAAAAUUGAAGCUUAACUUCAAAGAUGCAAUGGAAACUUUUAAACUUGAGUAUGGUAGGGGUAGAGGGAAUUUCCAGUGGAGCGGUGAAAUGCGUAGAUAUUGGAAAGACCACCAAUGGCGAAGGCACUCUACUGGGCCAUUACUGACACUGAGAGACGAAAGCUAGGGGAGCAAAUGGG
rnacentral:rRNA from 1 species